UGGCCAGCCCAGCUGUCUUCGUCGUUGCUCUUUUGGCUGCUUUUGUGUCUGCAUCAAGGCAGUGCGAGGUGCGUGCGCGCACGCGAGCGGGAUGGGUGUGCGGCGCCAAGCGGCUGGCGCAGGAUGGCUCGCAGUACGCCAGUUUCCGAGGAGUGCCUUACGCCAAGCAGCCCCUGGGAGAGCUGCGCUUUCAAGAACUUCAACCACAUGAACCUUGGACCGGGGACUUUAAUGCAACAACCGAAGGGCCCGCCUGCCCGAACAAUGAAGUGUUAUUUUAUGCCCUGGUGCGGCCGCAGGGCAUCAGCGAGGCUUGCAUCCAUGCCAACAUACACGUACCAAUAGAUGCCCUCCCGAACAUCCACACAGGUGCAAGUUGUACUGGAAGGCUACCGAUCUUGGUGUUCGUUCACGGAGGCGCCUGGGUCUCUGGGUCCGGCGACGCAGACAUUAAUGGACCAGAGUAUUUAGUCAGCAGAGGUCUUAUAAUAAUCACGUUC